rnacentral:rRNA from 1 species
CCUACGGGUGGCUGCAGUAGGGAAUUUUGCGCAAUGGGCGAAAGCCUGACGCAGCAACGCCGCGUGAUCGAGACGCCCUUCGGGGUGUAAAACUCUGUCAGUUGGGACGAAACUUGACGGUACCCACAGAGUAAGCACCGGCUAACUCCGUGCCAGCAGCCGCGGUAAUACGGGGGGUGCAAGCGUUGUCCGGAAUCAUUGGGCGUAAAGAGUUCGUAGGCGGGACGUAAAGUCUGGUGUUAAAGGCAGAGGCUCAACUACUGUACGGCACUGGAUACUUGCGAGCUAGAAUGCGGUAGAGGUAAAUGGAAUUCUUGGUGUAGCGGUGAAAUGCUUAGAUAUCAGGAGGAAUACCGGUGGCGUAAGCGCUUUGCUGGGCCGUAAGUGACGCUGAGGAACGAAAGCGAGGGUAGCAAAUGGGAUUAAAUACCCGAGUAGUC